AGCAGCCGCGGUAAUUCCAGCUCCAGUAGCGUAUAUUAAAGUUGUUGCAGUUAAAAAGCUCGUAGUUGAAUUUCGAGACCGGUUUAUUGGUCGUACUUUUGUACGUACUGGUAUUAUUGGUUUCUCCUUUCUGACGAAUCUUAAUGCCAUUAAUUUGGUGUUUUGGGGAAUCAGGACUGUUACUUUGAAAAAUUAGAGUGUUUAAAGCAGGCUCACGCUUGGAUACAUUAGCAUGGAAUAACGGAAUAGGACGUUUGAUUCUAUUUUGUUGGUUUCUAGGAUCGACGUAAUGAUUAAUAGGGAUAGUUGGGGGCAUUAGUAUUCAAUUGUCAGAGGUGAAAUUCUUGGAUUUAUUGAAGACUAACUACUGCGAAAGCAUUUGCCAAGGAUGUUUUCAUUAAUCAAGAACGGAAGUUAGGGGAUCGAAGACGAUCAGAUACCGUCGUAGUCUUAACCAUAAACUAUGCCGACUAGGGAUCGGAUGAUGUUAAUUUUUUAAUGACUCA
rnacentral:rRNA from 1 species